rnacentral:rRNA from 1 species
GACGAACGCUGGCGGCGUGCUUAACACAUGCAAGUCGAACGGAAAGGCCCUGCUUUUGUGGGGUGCUCGAGUGGCGAACGGGUGAGUAACACGUGAGUAACCUGCCCUUGACUUUGGGAUAACUUCAGGAAACUGGGGCUAAUACCGGAUAGGAGCUCCUGCUGCAUGGUGGGGGUUGGAAAGUUUCGGCGGUUGUGGAUGGACUCGCGGCUUAUCAGCUUGUUUGUGGGGUAGUGGCUUACCAAGGCUUUGACGGGUAGCCGGCCUGAGAGGGUGACCGGGCACCAUGGGACUGAGGUAGGGACCAGACUGCAACGGGAGGCAGCAGUGGGGAAUAUUGCACAAUGGGCGGAAGCCUGAUGCAGCAACGCCGGGUGCGGGAUGACGGCCUUCGGGUUGUAAACCGCUUUCGCCUGUGACGAAGCGUGAGUGACGGUAAUGGGUAAAGAAGCACCGGCUAACUACGUG